GACCCGAAACUGAUCGAUCUAGCCAUGAGCAGGUUGAAGAGAGCUCUAACACGCCUUAGAGGAUCGAACCCACGUAUGUGGCAAAAUACGGGGAUGACUUGUGGCUAGGGGUGAAAAGCCAACCAAGAUCGGAUAUAGCUGG
rfam:Nicotiana attenuata strain TT chromosome 3, whole genome shotgun sequence.